CGAAGCGUGCGAUUGGAUUGCACGUCUAAGCAGUAAGGCUGAGUAUUAGGCAAAUCCGGUACUCAUUAAGGCUGAGCUGUGAUGGGGAGAAGACAUUGUGUCUUCGAGUCGUUGAUUUCACACUGCCGAGAAAAGCCUCUAGAUAGAAAAUAGGUGCCCGUACCGCAAACCGACACAGGUAGUCAAGAUGAGAAUUCUAAGGUGAGCGAGCGAACUCUCGUUAAGGAACUCGGCAAAAUGACCCCGUAACUUCGGGAGAAGGGGUGCUCUUUAGGGUUAACGCCCAGAAGAGCCGCAGUGAAUAGGCCCAAGCGACUGUUUAUCAAAAACACAGGUCUCUGCUAAACCGUAAGGUGAUGUAUAGGGGCUGACGCCUGCCCGGUGCUGGAAGGUUAAGAGGAGUGGUUAGCUUCUGCGAAGCUACGAAUCGAAGCCCCAGUAAACGGCGGCCGUAACUAUAACGGUCCUAAGGUAGCGAAAUUCCUUGUCGGGUAAGUUCCGACCCGCACGAAAGGCGUAACGAUUUGGGCACUGUCUCAACGAGAGACUCGGUGAAAUCAUAGUACCUGUGAAGAUGCAGGUUACCCGCGACAGGACGGAAAGACCCCGUGGAGCUUUACUGUAGCCUGAUAUUGAAAUUCGGCACAGCUUGUACAGGAUAGGUAGGAGCCUUUGAAACGUGAGCGCUAGCUUACGUGGAGGCGCUGGUGGGAUACUACCCUAGCUGUGUUGGCUUUCUAACCCGCACCACUUAUCGUGGUGGGAGACAGUGUCAGGCGGGCAGUUUGACUGGGGCGGUCGCCUCCUAAAAGGUAACGGAGGCGCUCAAAGGUUCCCUCAGAAUGGUUGGAAAUCAUUCAUAGAGUGUAAAGGCAUAAGGGAGCUUGACUGCGAGACCUACAAGUCGAGCAGGGUCGAAAGACGGACUUAGUGAUCCGGUGGUUCCGCAUGGAAGGGCCAUCGCUCAACGGAUAAAAGCUACCCCGGGGAUAACAGGCUUAUCUCCCCCAAGAGUUCACAUCGACGGGGAGGUUUGGCACCUCGAUGUCGGCUCAUCGCAUCCUGGGGCUGUAGUCGGUCCCAAGGGUUGGGCUGUUCGCCCAUUAAAGCGGUACGCGAGCUGGGUUCAGAACGUCGUGAGACAGUUCGGUCCCUAUCCGUCGUGGGCGUAGGAAAUUUGAGAGGAGCUGUCCUUAGUACGAGAGGACCGGGAUGGACAUACCUCUGGUGUACCAGUUGUCGUGCCAACGGCAUAGCUGGGUAGCUAUGUGUGGACGGGAUAAGUGCUGAAAGCAUCUAAGCAUGAAGCCCCCCUCAAGAUGAGAUUUCCCAACUUCGGUUAUAAGAUCCCUCAAAGAUGAUGAGGUUAAUAGGUUCGAGGUGGAAGCAUGGUGACAUGUGGAGCUGACGAAUACUAAUCGAUCGA
rnacentral:rRNA from 1 species